GUGCGGCACGGCCUGUGCUUUUACGAUGAGCCGGCGGCGCAUUAGCUUAUCGAUGGGGUGAAGGCCUACCAAGGCAAUGAUGCGAUACCGAGCUGAAAUAGUGAUGGGACACAUUGCGACUGAAACGCGGCCCAGACUCCUACGGGUACGCGGACGCAGGGAAUGUGAAUCAAUGGACGCGGACGCUGAUGGAGCAGCACCGCGCGAGUGAAGAAGGUCAAUCGCGAUCGUAAAGCUCUGCUCUGGUGAAGAAGGAUAAAGGCAGUAACUGGUCUGUAUGUGACGGUGACGGACCACAAAGUCACGGCUAACUACGUGCCGCGCCCGCGGCCGUACGUAUGUGGCAAGCGUUGCGCGGAUUUAUUGGACGGAAAGCGAGCGCAGGCGGAACGAUAAGUCUGAUGUGAAAGCCCACGGCUCAGCCGAGGAACUGCAUUGCAUACUGAACUGCUUGACUGCAGAACAGGACAGGGGAACUCCAUGUGUAGCGGAGCAAUGCGUAGAUAUAUGGAAUAACACCACAGGCGAAGGCGGCUCUCUGGUCUGCUCUGACGCUGAGGCUCAGCUCAUGGCUUGCGAACCGAACAGAUACCCUGCCAUGCAUGCCGUACCGAUGACCGCUACGCUA
rnacentral:rRNA from 1 species